rfam:Aspergillus flavus NRRL3357 scf_1106286417600 genomic scaffold, whole genome shotgun sequence.
UGCUGCGUGGCGGAAUUGGUAGCGCGGCCUGGUUUCGCACCGGGAGUAUGCAGGUUCGAGUUCUGUCGUGGCAA